rnacentral:rRNA from 1 species
CAGAGUUUGAUCAGGCUCAGGACGAACGCUGGCGGCGUGCCUAACACAUGCAAGUCGAGCGGAGACAGUGAGUAGCUUGCUAUGAGCUGUUUUAGCGGCGGACGGGUGAGUAACGCGUGAGCAACCUUUCCCAGACAGGGGAAUAACACACCGAAAGGUGUACUAAUACCGCAUAAGACCAAGGGAUCACAUGGUUCUGGGGUAAAAGAUUUAUCGGUUUGGGGUGGGCUCGCGUCCGAUUAGGUAGUUGGUGAGGUAACGG